AGGGCACCACCAGGAGUGGAGCCUGCGGCUUAAUUUGACUCAACACGGGGAAACUCACCCGGCCCGGACACUGGAAGGAUUGACAGAUUGAGAGCUCUUUCUUGAUUCAGUGGGUGGUGGUGCAUGGCCGUUCUUAGUUGGUGGAGUGAUUUGUCUGGUUAAUUCCGAUAACGAACGAGACUCUAGCCUACUAAAUAGAUCGUCGGCUUACAAACGCCGGCGAGACUUCUUAGAGGGACAGGCGGUGAUUCAACCGCACGAAACAGAGCAAUAACAGGUCUGUGAUGCCCUUAGAUGUCCGGGGCCGCACGCGCGCUACACUGAAGUGAUCAGCGUGCUUUUUCAACCUACUCUGUCAAGAGUGGGGAACCCAAUGAACCUUCUUCGUGAUUGGGAUAGGGGAUUGUAAUUGUUCCCCUUGAACGAGGAAUUCCCAGUAAGCGCGAGUCAUAAGCUCGCGUUGAUUACGUCCCUGCCCUUUGUACACACCGCCCGUCGCUACUACCGAUUGAAUGUUUU
rnacentral:rRNA from 1 species